UCCCUGGUGGUCCAGUGGCUAAGACUCCAUACUUCCAAUGCCGGGGGCCAGGUUCAAUCCCUGUCAGGGAA
rnacentral:tRNA from 1 species